AGAAUUCCAAGUAAUGGAAUUCCAAGUAAUGUUAAAAGUGCUCACUAAAGCAACAAAUUUGAAAACCACUGAAUUCUGAUGGAAAAGAUAAGUGUGCAUCUUCAAUCUAACUGAGCAUUCACUGUGGAAUGCCUCUUUUUCCUAGAUUUAGAUUUUGGCAUAUCUCUGACACAUAAAUAAUUUUACCAAAAACCUCACCAAUUUGCAUACAAAAGAAAACACAACCCCAACAGUAUAUUUCCUUCUUGCAGAGACUCCUCUUCUGUGACUUGCUUCUCACCUUGCAAAGCAGUCCCAUUACGAAGUCUCUGUCCUGGCAGUUCUGGGACUUUUACCAGAGCCAAAGUCCAAUCACAGAGUUUCUUCCUCUCCUGCCUUCUGCCACUGCAAAAAGUGCUGCAGCCUUCAUUGGAGUAAGCAGUCCAGCUUCCAGAACUCAGGGGCUUCAUUAGAUUGAAACAUACAUCUGCAUGUUCACUGAAGCAGUGUCCACAAUUGU